rnacentral:rRNA from 1 species
UUAGAGUUUGAUCCUGGCUCAGAUUGAACGCUGGCGGCAGGCCUAACACAUGCAAGUCGAGCGGUAGCACAGAGAGCUUGCUCUCGGGUGACGAGCGGCGGACGGGUGAGUAAUGUCUGGGAAACUGCCUGAUGGAGGGGGAUAACUACUGGAAACGGUAGCUAAUACCGCAUAACGUCGCAAGACCAAAGUGGGGGACCUUCGGGCCUCAUGCCAUCAGAUGUGCCCAGAUGGGAUUAGCUAGUAGGUGGGGUAACGGCUCACCUAGGCGACGAUCCCUAGCUGGUCUGAGAGGAUGACCAGCCACACUGGAACUGAGACACGGUCCAGACUCCUACGGGAGGCAGCAGUGGGGAAUAUUGCACAAUGGGCGCAAGCCUGAUGCAGCCAUGCCGCGUGUGUGAAGAAGGCCUUCGGGUUGUAAAGCACUUUCAGCGGGGAGGAAGGCGGUGAGGUUAAUAACCUCAUCGAUUGACGUUACCCGCAGAAGAAGCACCGGCUAACUCCGUGCCAGCAGCCGCGGUAAUACGGAGGGUGCAAGCGUUAAUCGGAAUUACUGGGCGUAAAGCGCACGCAGGCGGUCUGUCAAGUCGGAUGUGAAAUCCCCGGGCUCAACCUGGGAACUGCAUUCGAAACUGGCAGGCUAGAGUCUUGUAGAGGGGGGUAGAAUUCCAGGUGUAGCGGUGAAAUGCGUAGAGAUCUGGAGGAAUACCGGUGGCGAAGGCGGCCCCCUGGACAAAGACUGACGCUCAGGUGCGAAAGCGUGGGGAGCAAACAGGAUUAGAUACCCUGGUAGUCCACGCUGUAAACGAUGUCGAUUUGGAGGUUGUGCCCUUGAGGCGUGGCUUCCGGAGCUAACGCGUUAAAUCGACCGCCUGGGGAGUACGGCCGCAAGGUUAAAACUCAAAUGAAUUGACGGGGGCCCGCACAAGCGGUGGAGCAUGUGGUUUAAUUCGAUGCAACGCGAAGAACCUUACCUGGUCUUGACAUCCACAGAACUUUCCAGAGAUGGAUUGGUGCCUUCGGGAACUGUGAGACAGGUGCUGCAUGGCUGUCGUCAGCUCGUGUUGUGAAAUGUUGGGUUAAGUCCCGCAACGAGCGCAACCCUUAUCCUUUGUUGCCAGCGGUUAGGCCGGGAACUCAAAGGAGACUGCCAGUGAUAAACUGGAGGAAGGUGGGGAUGACGUCAAGUCAUCAUGGCCCUUACGACCAGGGCUACACACGUGCUACAAUGGCAUAUACAAAGAGAAGCGACCUCGCGAGAGCAAGCGGACCUCAUAAAGUAUGUCGUAGUCCGGAUUGGAGUCUGCAACUCGACUCCAUGAAGUCGGAAUCGCUAGUAAUCGUAGAUCAGAAUGCUACGGUGAAUACGUUCCCGGGCCUUGUACACACCGCCCGUCACACCAUGGGAGUGGGUUGCAAAAGAAGUAGGUAGCUUAACCUUCGGGAGGGCGCUUACCACUUUGUGAUUCAUGACUGGGGUGAAGUCGUAACAAGGUA